UGGGGAAUAUUGGACAAUGGGCGAAAGCCUGAUCCAGCCACGCCGCGUGAGUGAUGAAGGCCUUCGGGUUGUAAAGCUCUGUGGGGAGGGACGAAAAAGGUUGUCAAGAUAACGGGCAGCCCUUGACGGUACCUCCUUAGCAAGCACCGGCUAACUCUGUGCCAGCAGCCGCGGUAAGACAGAGGGUGCGAACGUUGCUCGGAAUCACUGGGCGUAAAGCGCGUGUAGGCUGACCAGAAAGUCAGGUGUGAAAUCCCUGGGCUCAACCUAGGAACUGCAUCUGAAACUACUGGUCUAGAGUGUCGGAGAGGGAAGCGGAAUUCCGGGUGUAGAGGUGAAAUUCGUAGAUAUCCGGAGGAACACCGGUGGCGAAGGCGGCUUCCUGGACGACUACUGACGCUGAGACGCGAAAGCGUGGGGAGCAAACAGGAUUAGAUACCCCUGUAGUCC
rnacentral:rRNA from 1 species